rnacentral:tRNA from 1 species
GGAGACGUGUCCGAGUGGCUGAAGGAGCACGCUUGGAAAGCGUGUAAAUGGGUAACUGUUUCAUGAGUUCGAAUCUCAUCGUCUCCG